UACGGGGGGGGUAAGCGUUGUUCGGAAUUACUGGGCGUAAAGGGCUCGUAGGCGGCUAACUAAGUCAUACGUGAAAUCCCUCAGCUUAACUGGGGAACUGCGUGUGAUACUGGAUGGCUUGGAUUUGGGAGAGGGGUGCGGAAUUCCAGGUGUAGCGGUGAAAUGCGUAGAUAUCUGGAGGAACACCGGUGGCGAAGGCGGCAUCCUGGACCAAUAUUGACGCUGAGGAGCGAAAGCCAGGGGAGCAAACGGG
rnacentral:rRNA from 1 species